rnacentral:rRNA from 1 species
GAUGAACGCUGGCGGCGUGCUUCAUACAUGCAAGUCGAACGAGAAUCUCUAGCUUGCUAGAGAGGAAAGUGGCGGACGGGUGAGUAAUAUAUAGGAAAUCUGCCCUUAGGUGGGGGACAACAGUUGGAAACGACUGCUAAUACCGCAUAUGAGCUACACUGAGAUGUGUAUCUUGAAAACUCUGGUGCCUAAGGAUGAGCCUGUAGCUGAUUAGCUAGUUGGUGAGGUAACGGCCCACCAAGGCGACGAUCAGUAGCCGGCCUGAGAGGGUGAACGGCCACAUUGGGACUGAGACACGGCCCAAACUCCUACGGGAGGCAGCAGUGGGGAAUAUUGGACAAUGGGGGAAACCCUGAUCCAGCGACGCCGCGUGAGUGAAGAAGUAUUUCGGUAUGUAAAGCUCUAUCAGCAGGGAAGAAAAUGACGGUACCUGACUAAGAAGCUCCGGCUAAAUACGUG